rfam:Loxodonta africana unplaced genomic scaffold scaffold_73, whole genome shotgun sequence.
GCGGUGGUGGUUCCAUGGUAGAAUUCUCACCUUCCUUGCAGGAGACCUGGGUUCGAUUCCCAGCCAAUGCA